CCUACGGGUGGCUGCAGUGGGGAAUAUUGCACAAUGGGCGCAAGCCUGAUGCAGCCAUGCCGCGUGUGUGAAGAAGGCCUUCGGGUUGUAAAGCACUUUCAGCGGGGAGGAAGGCGGUGAGGUUAAUAACCUCAUCGAUUGACGUUACCCGCAGAAGAAGCACCGGCUAACUCCGUGCCAGCAGCCGCGGUAAUACGGAGGGUGCAAGCGUUAAUCGGAAUUACUGGGCGUAAAGCGCACGCAGGCGGUCUGUCAAGUCGGAUGUGAAAUCCCCGGGCUCAACCUGGGAACUGCAUUCGAAACUGGCAGGCUAGAGUCUUAUAGAGGGGGGUAGAAUUCCAGGUGUAGCGGUGAAAUGCGUAGAGAUCUGGAGGAAUACCGGUGGCGAAGGCGGCCCCCUGGACAAAGACUGACGCUCAGGUGCGAAAGCGUGGGGAGCAAACAGGAUUAGAUACCCCAGUAGUC
rnacentral:rRNA from 1 species